ensembl:lncRNA
UCCAAAGCAGGACAAGGAAUACAUGCACAAUGCUCAGCUGGGUGUGUCCCAAACAGUAGCACAUAAUUACCUAAAUAAAACAUAUAGAUCACGUACCUUGAGAUGAAUUAAUCCUGCUACUGACCAACAAUGCCAAAGUGUGAGGCCACAGCAAGACCAAUUCCAUAUCCAAAAUGUCCGCCCUGUAACAGGAGGAGGAAAUGCUCUCCGGCUCCUUGGCUGUACCGCAGCCCUGACAGAGCCAUGGUUGCAGUGUGCAAGCGUUCUCAUAGGCUCCCGCUGCAUAACCCCUGGACUCUCUGGGAGAUGUGAGCAGAAGAGUGAAGGUCGGGGAGCUGUGUUGUGGAUAACAUCUGUUGGUAACAUUUCCCUCCCCUAAGCAAGCCUGGCUAAAACGGGAACAUCUGGAGAACCACACCCAGUGAAGGCCAACACCAGCGCUUCAGGAGGAAGAAGGGAUGCUUCUCCCAGGGCCAAAUGGCACGGAGGGUGUGUGUUGACAAGCGGCAGGACUGAAUGAGAAAUGAAGGUCAACCUCAAAGUGCACCAACAUGUUAGAAGCCUCAGCAAGCAUGUGGUCAUUUCACCACAAAGGGUGACAGUGAAAGAUUUUAAAGCUUGAAACAAGAACAGCAUGGACACUCGCGGGAUGUUAAGCACUGUUUCUGGAGCUUACAAGUAAACCAUUAAGAAGGCAUUGGACUAUCUGUCAUGGGGACCCAUUCUGAAGCAUGUUCUAAACGAAGGACAAACAACCUCACGGUGAGCACAACCCCAAUGGUUAGAGACAGGUGGCUGGUGGGAGUGCCGACGCCAGGAGAGAGGAGCGCCACUCCCCAGGGACUGGACCCAGAGAGGAGCUCGGCGCUGAUGAGACGGCUGCCUGGCUGGAUGUGACAGACAGAGACACGCGCGCGGCACAGCCCCUGCAGGGAGACGGCGGGCUCAUACCUUGGCAUGGCAGGCCAGGACGACAUCAGAGGGACUCUCACUAAAACGACAGUGAUGUGUUGUUGUUGCUGUUGUUUGCAGGGAGCCAGGACGGCAGAAAGACUAGCCCAUCCAGUCAUAUUUAUGUGAGACUCGAGAUCAUGCAGAACCAUUCACCAGGUCAAUGCUGAAUGCUGCUCGAAACUGACACCAUUUUAUAUGGAUUCCGGCUCACAACACAAACACUCUAUUUGAUUUUUAAAGUAUUUUUAAGUAUAAUUGUGUUUGUAUUAACUUAGAGGCCGAACCCCUUGGCUCAUAUAGAUCUUUUGUCUUUCACAACAGUGACAAAAAUAGCAAAGUAGGUGUUUUGCACAAGAGGGGUGCCUUCUGAAUCUACAUGUUUUAGACUCCACUGUAUGGAUUAAACUGUCCUUACCCCCUGUCGUAUGUAUGGAUUAAACUGUCCUUACCCCCUCUCGUAUGUAUGGAUUAAAACUGUCCUUACCCCUCUCGUAUGUAUGGAUUUAAAACUGUCCUUACCCCCUCUCGUAUGUAUGGAUUAAAACUGUCCUUACCCCCUCUCGUAUGUUUGGAUUAAACUGUCCUUACCCC